CGGUACGUUUUUUUUUGUUUUUUUAUAUUUUUUAUAUUUUAAAUUUUAAUUAUUUUUUUAAACAUUUUUUUUUGCAGUGGUUCGAAGACGAGGUGCAGAUGGUAGGAUUCCAGUCCUCACGUUAGACCGGGGUGCAUCUUCAUCUGCAGCGGAGCCGGCUGGAUAUCCAGGAGGGCCGUACGAUACGUCUCUUUUGGUGAAGUACGAGCAUCAUGUUGCUCGACAUUUAUGGUUCGGUGAGGUAAGUAAACG
rnacentral:lncRNA from 1 species